rnacentral:rRNA from 1 species
UACGGAGGGUGCGAGCGUUGUCCGGAAUCAUUGGGCGUAAAGGGCGCGUAGGUGGCCCAGUCAGCGUGCGGUGAAAGCUCGGGGCUCAACCCCGGGUCGGCCGUGCGAACUACUGGGCUGGAGCACUGUAGAGGCAGGCGGAAUUCCGGGUGUAGCGGUGGAAUGCGUAGAGAUCCGGAAGAACACCGGUGGCGAAGGCGGCUGCUGGGCUAUGGCUGACACUGAGGCGCGACAGCGUGGGGAGCAAACAGG